CGAGGAGGAGCACUAUGUCCUCCAUGCGUCCUGGUCACUUUCCCCACCUGGGUUGUGCUGUGAGGGGAGCAUCAGAAGCUGCUGCUCUCUGCCCUCCCCUUAUGCAGCCUGGUUGAGGAAAGUGACCUGGAUGCAGGGAGCUCGGAUCAUCUCGCUUCUUGCCCCCGUCGCCCCUGCUAGGGAAGGCUGCUGUGUGUUGUCUUUAUGGCUGUACUUUCAGUGAUGCAGGUUUCUCUAUCCCAUUGUUCCAGGGGCAUCCUACUAGAUUGCCAGCUGCUUUUCAACUGCAGUGUGGAGACUGCUUGUGUGUGUGGAGAGACUGUGUGUGUGUGUUGAGGUAGGUAGGACCAGAUCAUUAUUAUCCCUACUUGAAAGAGGGAGAAGCUAAGCCUGAGAAAGGAGAAUUGACUUGUCUUAGGUCGCACAGCCAGUCAGAAGCAGAGUUGGGAAUAGGACCCAAGAGCCCUGAUUUUCAAACUAACCAUUGGAUCUUGAAUAUCAAACACUGAGUGACCUGAAUCAAGUGCUCUCAGAUGAGCUCCAGACUAACAACAGUGACAGUAAUUAUUCAGCAAGUAUUUGAGGAGAACUCCAAUGUUAGAGAGAAUCAUGAACUGCUCAGAGACAACUAAUGCAGAGAAGCAGCAAAAUUCAUCAAACAUAGAACUGGUUCUGACUUAGAAAGAGAACAAGGACCUGAGUCUCCUCCCUGUCAAUAACCCCCUGCUCAGCCAAUCAGGGCAGAGACUGAGGACGGGAGACUGAGGGUUCUUACCAGGGAGCCCGAAGGAUGGCCCAGGUCACUGGUGGGGAUCACUGCCCAAGCACUAGUUCAGUCCCACAGUUUUGGGUGGACCUCCCACAGUGGGAGCUGCAGAGCACUGCCCUGCAACACACACACACACACGCAUGCACCUCCUGGUGUUGGGGAGAGGAACAGGAGAAAGGACAAAAAAGCAAGAGACGAAGACAAAGGAGGGAGGGAGGAAUGAAGGAAAAGGUGAAACAAAAAGGACAAAUCCUAAUGUCCCCAGUGAUUCUAAGGGACAAAAUCCCAGGUGUGGAAUAAUAUUCUGCCUCCUUAAGCUCGUGUUUUCCAUGCCUAGAAUUCAACUCUCACCAGAUGGAUCAGACUGAACAGGUUUCAAUCCUCCAGGAGGCUCUUACCUUCUAAACAGGGACGAUUGUUUUCUAGUAAAAUCACUACAAGGGAAGGAGAAAAGUCGAAAGAGGUUCCUCCUGGCGCUCACAUCCGUGAACCCGAAUACUCUCUCAGUCCUCAAAGAGAGACCUGGAGAAGGAGACUUGUUGAAGCAAAGCCACAGGGGUGUCUCAGG